UGGGGAAUCUUGCGCAAUGGGCGAAAGCCUGACGCAGCAACGCCGCGUGAGGGAAGAAGGCUUUCGGGUUGUAAACCUCUUUCAGGAGGGACGAAGCUUCCGAGGUUAAUAGCCUACGGGGUGACGGUACCUCCAGAAGAAGCCCCGGCUAACUACGUGCCAGCAGCCGCGGUAAUACGUAGGGGGCAAGCGUUGUCCGGAAUCAUUGGGCGUAAAGCGCGUGUAGGUGGCUUGGUAAGUCCGGUGUGAAACCCUGGGGCUCAACCCCAGGCCUGCACCGGAUACUGCCUCGCUCGAGUUCGGGAGGGGAGAGCGGAAUUCCUAGUGUAGCGGUGAAAUGCGCAGAUAUUAGGAAGAACACCGGUGGCGAAGGCGGCUCUCUGGAACGAUACUGACACUGAGACGCGAAAGCGUGGGUAGCGAACAGG
rnacentral:rRNA from 2 species